GAUGAACGCUGGUUGCGUGCCUAAUACAUGCAAGUCGAGCGAACGGACGAGAAGCUUGCUUCUCUGAUGUUAGCGGCGGACGGGUGAGUAACACGUGGAUAACCUACCUAUAAGACUGGGAUAACUUCGGGAAACCGGAGCUAAUACCGGAUAAUAUUUUGAACCGCAUGGUUCAAAAGUGAAAGACGGUCUUGCUGUCACUUAUAGAUGGAUCCGCGCUGCAUUAGCUAGUUGGUAAGGUAACGGCUUACCAAGGCAACGAUGCAUAGCCGACCUGAGAGGGUGAUCGGCCACACUGGAACUGAGACACGGUCCAGACUCCUACGGGAGGCAGCAGUAGGGAAUCUUCCGCAAUGGGCGAAAGCCUGACGGAGCAACGCCGCGUGAGUGAUGAAGGUCUUCGGAUCGUAAAACUCUGUUAUUAGGGAAGAACAUAUGUGUAAGUAACUGUGCACAUCUUGACGGUACCUAAUCAGAAAGCCACGGCUAACUACGUGCCAGCAGCCGCGGUAAUACGUAGGUGGCAAGCGUUAUCCGGAAUUAUUGGGCGUAAAGCGCGCGUAGGCGGUUUUUUAAGUCUGAUGUGAAAGCCCACGGCUCAACCGUGGAGGGUCAUUGGAAACUGGAAAACUUGAGUGCAUUAGAGGAAAGUGGAAUUCCAUGUGUAGCGGUGAAAUGCGCAGAGAUAUGGAGGAACACCAGUGGCGAAGGCGACUUUCUGGUCUGUAACUGACGCUGAUGUGCGAAAGCGUGGGGAUCAAACAGGAUUAGAUACCCUGGUAGUCCACGCCGUAAACGAUGAGUGCUAAGUGUUAGGGGGUUUCCGCCCCUUAGUGCUGCAGCUAACGCAUUAAGCACUCCGCCUGGGGAGUACGACCGCAAGGUUGAAACUCAAAGGAAUUGACGGGGACCCGCACAAGCGGUGGAGCAUGUGGUUUAAUUCGAAGCAACGCGAAGAACCUUACCAAAUCUUGACAUCCUUUGACAACUCUAGAGAUAGAGCUUUCCCCUUCGGGGGACAAAGUGACAGGUGGUGCAUGGUUGUCGUCAGCUCGUGUCGUGAGAUGUUGGGUUAAGUCCCGCAACGAGCGCAACCCUUAAGCUUAGUUGCCAUCAUUAAGUUGGGCACUCUAAGUUGACUGCCGGUGACAAACCGGAGGAAGGUGGGGAUGACGUCAAAUCAUCAUGCCCCUUAUGAUUUGGGCUACACACGUGCUACAAUGGACAAUACAAAGGGCAGCGAAACCGCGAGGUCAAGCAAAUCCCAUAAAGUUGUUCUCAGUUCGGAUUGUAGUCUGCAACUCGACUACAUGAAGCUGGAAUCGCUAGUAAUCGUAGAUCAGCAUGCUACGGUGAAUACGUUCCCGGGUCU
rnacentral:rRNA from 1 species